GGGGUUAUAGCUCAGUGGUAGAGCGCUCGCUUUGCAUCCUCGCAAGUAUGCGAGAGGUCAAGGGUUCGAUCCCCUUUGACUCCA
rfam:Aspergillus niger ATCC 1015, whole genome shotgun sequence.